AUAGGAGAAAAGAACGAGAGUGCACAGUGACCCAGAGAGACUAGAGCAGUGGAUGGUACAGGCAAGGAGGAAGUCCCAUGUCCAAGGACAAAGAGUAGAUGGCACCCAUACACAAUGUGGCCCUCAGAGACUCCACAUCGAGAUUGUGCUAGGUGCUGUACAGACAUAUUGUGAAAGAUCAUCUCUUCUCCCAAAACUACAAACUUGAUUUAGAAAGAUGAAACAGCUAAACCAUUCAUCAGUAAUGCCAGAGAGAUGAAAGACUCCCUCAGUCUGCUGCUGGGAGAGUGACAGAUUUCAUUGUAAACUUUUGGUGAGGCCAUUCAUGGCAUUCUUUCAACAUAUUCUGUACAUCUCACUCCCAAUCAGAACCAACUGCAAAACCUGAAAUGGAUCAAACUGCUGUAGAAGACAAGGGAGAGGACACAGCAAUCAAGAGCUCCACAUUAAGAACUGCCCAAGAUCAAUAAAAACAUCUCUCGGUUAAACUGUAGAAAACAUGCUGUCAUAAACAGAUAGUUAAGGGUUAAUGUCUCUUUUACCUGUAAAGGGUUAAGAAGCUCAGUAAACCUGGCUGACACCUGACCAGAGGACCAAUAAGGGGACAAGAUACUUUCAAAUCUUGGUGGAGGGAAGUCUUUUGUUUGUGCUCUUUGUUUGGGGGUUGUUCGCUCUUGGGACUGAGAGGGAUCAGACAUCAAUCCACGCUCUCCAAAUCUUUCUGAAUCAGUCUCUUAUGUCUCAAACUUGUAAGUAAAAGCCAGGCAAGGCGUGUUAGUCUUAUUUUUGUUUUCUCAACUUGUAAAUGUUCCUCUUUGCUGAGA